UGAGGAAUAUUGGUCAAUGGGCGCGAGCCUGAACCAGCCAAGUCGCGUGAGGGAUGACGGCCCUACGGGUUGUAAACCUCUUUUGUCGGGGAGCAAAUUCCGUUACGUGUAACGGAGUCGAGAGUACCCGAAGAAAAGCAUCGGCUAACUCCGUGCC
rnacentral:rRNA from 1 species